UACAGAGGGUGCAAGCGUUAAUCGGAAUUACUGGGCGUAAAGCCCACGUAGGCGGUUUUUUAAGUCAGAUGUGAAAGCCCCGGGCUCAACCUGGGAAUUGCAUUUGAAACUGGGGAACUAGAGUGUGUGAGAGGGGGGUAGAAUUCCAAGUGUAGCGGUGAAAUGCGUAGAGAUUUGGAGGAAUACCAGUGGCGAAGGCGGCCCCCUGGCACAACACUGACGCUCAGGUGCGAAAGCGUGGGGAGCAAACAGG
rnacentral:rRNA from 1 species